AUUGAACGCUGGCGGCAGGCCUAAAACAUGCAAGUCGAACGAGUGGCGGACGGGUGAGUAAUGUCUGGAAAACUGCCUGAUGGAGGGGGAUAACUACUUGAAACGGUAGCUCAUACCGCAUACCAUCCGAUGUUCCCAGAUGGGAUUAGCUAUUAGGUGGGUUAAAGGCUCACCUAGGCGACGAUCCCUAGCUGGUCUGAGAGGUUGACCAGCCACACUGGAACUGAGACACGGUCCAGACUCCUACGUGAGGCAGCAGUGGGGAAUAUUGCGCAAUGGGCGCAAGCCUGAUGCAGCCAUGCCGCGUGUAUGAAGAAGGCCUUCGGGUUGUAAAGUACUUUCAGCGGGGAGGCGUUACCCGCAGAAGAAGCACCGGCUAACUCCGUGCCAGCCGCCGCGGUAAUUC
rnacentral:rRNA from 1 species